UACGUAGGGCGCAAGCGUUGUUCGGAAUCACUGGGCGUAAAGCGCACGCAGGCGGAUCGUUAAGUCAGGGGUGAAAUCCCGAGGCUCAACCUCGGAACUGCCUCUGAUACUGGCGAUCUUCGAGUCCGGGAGAGGUGAGUGGAACUCCGAGUGUAGAGGUGAAAUUCGUAGAUAUUCGGAAGAACACCAGUGGCGAAGGCGGCUCACUGGCCCGGUACUGACGCUCAGGUGCGAAAGCGUGGGGAGCAAACAGG
rnacentral:rRNA from 1 species